GACGAACGCUGGCGGCGUGCUUAACACAUGCAAGUCGAACGGUAAGGCCCUUCGGGUACGACGAGUGGCGAACGGGUGAGUAACACGUGGGUGAUCUGCCCUGCACUUUGGGAUAAGCCUGGGAAACUGGGUCUAAUACCGAAUAUGACCAUGGACUUCACGGUUUGUGGUGGAAAGCUUUUGCGGUGUGGGAUGGGCCCGCGGCCUAUCAGCUUGUUGGUGGGGUAAUGGCCUACCAAGGCGACGACGGGUAGCCGGCCUGAGAGGGUGACCGGCCACACUGGGACUGAGAUACGGCCCAGACUCCUACGGGAGGCAGCAGUGGGGAAUAUUGCACAAUGGGCGCAAGCCUGAUGCAGCGACGCCGCGUGGGGGGAUGACGGCCUUCGGGUUGGUAAACCUCUUUCACCAGGACGAAGCGAGAGUGACGGUACC
rnacentral:rRNA from 1 species